rnacentral:rRNA from 1 species
AACGAACGCUGGCGGCAUGCCUAACACAUGCAAGUCGAACGGUAACGCGGGGCAACCUGGCGACGAGUGGCGAACGGGUGAGUAAUGUAUCGGAACGUGCCCAGUUGUGGGGGAUAACUGCUCGAAAGAGCAGCUAAUACCGCAUACGACCUGAGGGUGAAAGCGGGGGAUCGCAAGACCUCGCGCAAUUGGAGCGGCCGAUAUCAGAUUAGGUAGUUGGUGGGGUAAAGGCUCACCAAGCCAACGAUCUGUAGCUGGUCUGAGAGGACGACCAGCCACACUGGGACUGAGACACGGCCCAGACUCCUACGGGAGGCAGCAGUGGGGAAUUUUGGACAAUGGACGCAAGUCUGAUCCAGCCAUGCCGCGUGCGGGAAGAAGGCCUUCGGGUUGUAAACCGCUUUUGUCAGGGAAGAAACGCUCUGGGUUAAUACCUCGGGGUAAUGACGGUACCUGAAGAAUAAGCACCGGCUAACUACGUGCCAGCCGCCGCGGUAACAC